AACGAACGCUGGCGGCAGGCCUAACACAUGCAAGUCGAGCGAGGUAGCAAUACCUAGCGGCGGACGGGUUAGUAACGCGUGGGAACGUGCCCAAAGGUACGGAAUAGCCUCGGGAAACUGAGAGUAAUACCGUAUGUGCCCUUCGGGGGAAAGAUUUAUCGCCUUUGGAUCGGCCCGCGUUGGAUUAGGUAGUUGGUGGGGUAAUGGCCUACCAAGCCGACGAUCCAUAGCUGGUUUGAGAGGAUGAUCAGCAACACUGGGACUGAGACACGGCCCAGACUCCUACGGGAGGCAGCAGUGGGGAAUCUUAGACAAUGGGGGAAACCCUGAUCUAGCCAUGCCGCGUGAGCGAUGAAGGCCUUAGGGUUGUAAAGCUCUUUCAGCUGGGAAGAUAAUGACGGUACCAGCAGAAGAAGCCCCCGGCUAAACUCCGUGCCAGCAGCCGCGGUAAU
rnacentral:rRNA from 1 species